rnacentral:lncRNA from 1 species
CAAUCUGAGGGCAGGUUAUGAGCUGGUCCAGGUGGGCACCUCAAACUCACAGGGGACGCAAUUCUUCCUUCUUGUCAAUCCUUUCCCAUGUCUUUCUCCACAGUAUUCCUUUCAUCCAAUUUAACAUCCCUUUAAGGAUUUACCCCUUUCAGGUAGGCUUCCUUCAUGUACUCCUUCCAGGUUCUGGUCACCCUUUGCCCAGAUUUUGAACUGCUACCUUUAUUAUAUUUAAAUUUUAAAAACAUAAUAAAACUGUUAUA